AUUAUAUAAUGUUUAUAUAAGGUUCUUGUUUAUUUUCUUGUUUGAUUUUUGUAUAUAUAGUAAUUAUAAGGUGCAUUUGAAUUAAUAUCUUUAGGUUCUUAUUUCUGUUGUAAGGAUGGGGGACAGGGAGAUUUGGAAUUCUGGAAUGAGGACUGAAAGAAGUUGAGUGGCAGUUGAGGACCAAAGACUUCUGGGAGGAAAACAUUUCUGAAGGCAUCUGAGGAAAAUCUGGGUCUUCUGACCUGGGACCUGAAGUUGUCAGGACCAGUUUUGGGGGGACUGAGGAUAUACCUAAGCUACAUGAGAAGAUCCUGUUUCUUCCUUCAAGCUGAUAGCUGACCUGCCUCCAGCAUACAUCUACCACUUCCCUCAACCUGAAGAAAGACAUCUCAGAACCCUAAGUGGGGAAGGGGGGGGAAGAGGGACAGGGACAGGAAAUCACCAUAAAAGCCACAAAAUCCUUCAGCUGGGGGCAGUCUGGUGAACUUGAGUCUCAUGGAGAGUGUCUCCUGGAGAUAGUCUUCAAGGGAACUCCAUUGGAGACCUCAGUGUGGAUGGUGACUUCAACUUGGACUCUGACUCCUGGACUACGUCAUUAGAAUGUGUUGGUGUUCAGCCUAGCAGAAUGAUCAAAGGGAGAUGUGUCUGGAACAGAGUGAAGACAAAUUGUUGCCGCCACACAGGAUAAGCCAUAAACCAGCCAUGCAGCUGAACAGCCAGAGAUAACUAGGAAGGGCUGUUUCUGAAUUCUCUGGAAUCAGUCCCACCACCUCAAGCCCUAGGGAGAGGAAUGAGUCAAACAGAGUGAAAUCAACAAGGUAGCUCCUUGGGGGAUGGGGGAGGGGAAAUUGAUAAAUCCAACUGUUUGCUGAACCUCAGACUUUGUAUCCUAGAAAAUACCACUGGAAUCUAUCAACAGAGGACUCUUAAAGCAAUUGUAUCUGCUGCAGCCUUGACUCCAGAGACCCCUACUGGUUCACAGCUGAUGACUGAAGGAAUUGACACCAAAGAGUCCACAAGUGCCAGGCUCUUAAGGGAUUUAGCCAAGGAAGGAGACAGGAAGUGAUGUGUAAAAAGGAGUAUAAAACGUCCUGAACAUCCUGUCCAAGGGACUUCUCCUUGAGGCUUGUCCUUUGGACUUCUUCUCUGGAGUCUCUGAUUCUUGGAUCUUCUCCUUUGAACUUUUUUUGGAUGAUGACUUCUUCGAUUUUGACUUGGAG
rnacentral:lncRNA from 1 species